GGGAAUCUGAGAAUGGGAAGGAGGGGCAGGCAAGUGAGGGCGAGGAGGAGGGGGAGGGGGAGGGGGAGGGGGAGGGAACUGGUGGUGUGGAGGAGGAAGGUGAGAAGGAUAAGGAUGCGGAGGUGGUGGGGGAUGAGGAUAGGCAGAGGGAGGAGGAGCGGGAGCGAUGUGGUCGGAGUGAGGAGAAGCCGCCCACUGCUGAGGAGGAGGAGGAGGAGGAGAUGGGAGAAAUGAUGACGACGGCGAUGCUGGAUACCGCAACCGGACCGAAGCCAUUCUCGCAUUGGCGGAGGUAGGGAGGUCGUUGGAGAGCUUGCCGAAGGACUUGGCUGGAGCGAUUGAGGCGGGAAGAGUUCCGGGAUCGAUUGUGCAUAGGUACUUUGAGCUUGAGAAGUCUCCGGUGUUCAGAUGGUUGCUUCAAUUUGGUGGAUUUAAGGAACGGUUGCUUGCUGAUGAUCUGUUCUUAACUAAGGUUGGAAUAGAGUGUGGUGUUGGGAUCUUUACCAAGGUUUGUGCCUGGCUCUGUGUGCUUGUAUAUGUGUGCAAUGCAAUUGUGUGAUUGAUAGAGGAUUAGUUUCUAUCUGCUUAAGUUAUUUGAGUGAUUGUUAUUUGAUGGCUUGUUAUGCUAUAUAUAGGGGAGGUGGGGAAUGGUUCUCUGAAGAAAUAACUCACCCAAAACCUAGCUCAAGGUGGAGAGUGCCCAAGGCGCACAUUACCUCUAUCCAAACCAAUGUAAUAUUAGAUAUUAACACAAACACCCGUGAAACACUUAUGGGAGGCUCCAAACAUUGGUCCGGGAGUUUUUGAAUGGGCAGAGCUUAACUUACCCUAAAAGCUAGCUUAAAGGUGGAGGAGUGCCUAGGCUUACCCUAUCCCAAACCAAAGUGGGAUUUUAACAGUUUCUAAUGUUAAGACAUGAAUUAUUGCUAAAUCUUGGGCCUUUUUAUGAAGCUUGUUCCUUCCUACAGACAUUUAGUAUCCGCUUAUUAUGAUUUGGAGUAACUGAACUUUUCAAGUUAGAACCAUGGUGGUGGAUUCUCAUGUAUGUUUGAAAAAAAUAGCUUUUUUUUGUGAACAUAUAUUUAUAAAGCUUGCAAUUUGUCUAAAUGAAUGGACAUUUAGGAUGUAUUGAUUGUUGUGAUGAAACCAUGAUGCAUUUGGUGAUUUGGAGGCUAAUAGCUUCAGCUUCAUCAUACAGGAAUUGCUGGAUUGGUAUGUAUAUUUAGAAGUUCUUCCUCUUUUUCUGUGUUUUCUUCUUUACUUUUCAUGUGGUUUUGUAAUUUGCACCUGCACAUUAGCAAUGCUUGGACAGGCUAUCAGCCCAAAAUAUGUUUCAAAAAUUUUGAAUUCAGCACUUCAUAUUUCUAAAUGGGCUUUGCAGCUCUAUGGAAUCAUUGUUAGAAUAUGGAGAAUCCCCCCACCUUCUUUCUCUUUUUCCUGUCCUUAAUACAUUUUAGUCAGGAAAGCAUAUGUAAGCCAUAGUUACCUUUCUGAAUUUCUCUUGCUUUUCAGACAGCAGCUGAAUUGGAAAAACGGAGAGAGAAAUUUGGAAAGGAGCUGGAUUUUGUUUUUGCUGAUGUGGUGAUGGCCAUAAUAGCAGACUUUAUGCUUGUAUGGCUUCCUGCUCCUACUGUUUCCCUUCGACCACCUAUUGCAGUCAGUGCUAGCCCUCUUGCUAAGUUCUUCUACGGCUGUCCUGAUAAUGCAUUUCAGGUGGCUUUGGCCGGAACAUCAUAUUCAUUUUUACAGAGAAUAGGUGCAAUAAU
rnacentral:misc_RNA from 1 species